rnacentral:rRNA from 1 species
AUUAGAUACCCUAUUAUUUUUAUUGUAAAAGAUUAAGGCCUGAGUAUUAAUUGAUAUAACUUGAAACUUAAAGAAUUUGGCGGUAUUAUAAUCUAUUUAGAGGAAUCUGUUAUGUAAUCGAUAAUCCGCGUUGAACCUUACUUAUAUUAAUUUCUUGUAUACCGCUGUUUAUGAAUAUACUUUUAGGUUAUUUUCUUAAUUUAAUAAUAAAUAGAAUUUCAAGUCAAGGUGCAGUAAUAUAUAAGUUGAGUAAUGGAUUACAAUAGAUUUUAUUUAUUUACGGAUAAUAUUUUAAAUAUAAUUUGAAGGUGGAUUUAAAUGUAAUUUUAUAAAGAUUAUUAAGAUGAUAAAUAGUUCUAUAAUAUGUACACAUCGCCCG